rnacentral:other from 1 species
AAGAUCCUGGAAUGCACGAUACUCUUGUAUGUUUUGAACCUACAUUUACGUUUAUGGGAUUCCUAUAUUGUCGUUAUUAUGUCAGGCCUCCGAAUGCGCAGUGGAAGACAGAGGAACGAUUGCGGUCACCCACCUGGCUUAGGCUAGGCGUCAAAAUAACAAGAACCGGCAUUUUGGGUAACUA